rnacentral:rRNA from 1 species
GACGAACGCUGGCGGCGCGCUUAACACAUGCAAGUCGAACGGAAAGGCCUGCUUUCCCUUGUGGAUUGCGGGUACUCGAGUGGCGAACGGGUGAGUAACACGUGAGUGAUCUGCCCCCAACUUGGGUAUAAGCCUGGGAAACUGGGUCUAAUUCCCGAUAGGACUGCAGGGUGGUGCCUGUGGUGGAAAACGAUUUUCUAGUGGUUGGGGAUGAGCUCGCGGCCUAUCAGCUUGUUGGUGGGGUAAUGGCCUACCAAGGCGGCGACGGGUAGCCGGCCUGAGAGGGUGGACGGCCACAUUGGGACUGAGCUACGGCCCAGACUCCUACGGGAGGCAGCAGUGGGGAAUAUUGCACAAUGGGCGGAAGCCUGAUGCAGCGACGCCGCGUGGGGGAUGACGGCCUUCGGGUUGUAAACUCCUUUCGACCGCGAGGAAGCCACCUGGUUGGAAGGGUGAUGACGGUAGUGGUAGAAGAAGCACCGGCUAACUACGUG